rnacentral:rRNA from 1 species
AACGAACGCUGGCGGCAGGCUUAACACACGCAAGUCGAGCGCAUCCUUCGGGGUGAGCGGCAGACGGGUGAGUAACGCGUGGGAAUCUACCCAUCACUACGGAACAACUCCGGGAAACUGGAGCUAAUACCGUAUACGUCCUUCGGGAGAAAGAUUUAUCGGUGAUGGAUGAGCCCGCGUUGGAUUAGCUAGUUGGUGGGGUAAUGGCCCACCAAGGCGACGAUCCAUAGCUGGUCUGAGAGGAUGAUCAGCCACACUGGGACUGAGACACGGCCCAGACUCCUACGGGAGGCAGCAGUGGGGAAUAUUGGACAAUGGGCGCAAGCCUGAUCCAGCCAUGCCGCGUGAGUGAUGAAGGCCCUAGGGUUGUAAAGCUCUUUCACCGGUGAAGAUAAUGACGGUAACCGGAGAAGAAGCCCCGGCUAACUUCGUGCCAGCCGCCGCAGUAA